rnacentral:lncRNA from 1 species
UCCUUGGCAACCUUUCCCCUAUUUUCUCUUUAUUCUCCUCUUCCUCUUUCAUUCUCCUUUAUCAAAAGAUCCUGAAAUCCCUCUAAACCAUACAAAUGUAGAAAUCAUGCCCCCUCCAUCCCACACACACAAAAAAUGGUUUGUGUGCCUUCCUCUUAGAGUGACCUUCAUGCUACGAACCUGUCUGGAUGCUGGAUAUUGUAAGCUGUGCAAAGGAUGAAAGCUAUGGUGAGUUUGCGCUCUGGGGCCUUCUCUGACUUCUCAUUGGAUGACUCUGAAUUGCCUUGGACAGAUACACAAGAGUUAAUGAGCUGUGGAUGGGGGAAGAAGAAGCUACCAAAGGAAUCUUCUUGAUAGUCAUGUGAGCACCAGCCUUCUUCUACCCAGUUUGGUACCCACUAUCUAACAGGCACACCAUGCUCCAGGACAAACUGUCUCUUCUUUCAACUCUCCAUCCCCUUUAAUAGGCCAGCUAACAAUGAGCUGAACUUAUUUCUGGUUCCGGUAGACUUUACCUGAACUCACUCUGUGUGAAUUCACUAAAGGGCACAAAGGCCAACAACCCACAACUCUUCUCUGGGGUCAGGUUGUCUUGCCAGUUAAUCUAAGCCCUUAACAACAUACAGAAACAAACACUUUCAGUGCAACUUAGGUUAUUGGUGAAAGCUAAUUUUGAUGGGUCAUUAUAAAGUUCGGGUAGUUGGAGGGAGCUGGUUUCCUCCAGCUAGCAAAUCCAUCAUCCUGGAGAAGAAGAUUUAAAAGCAGCGCUGAAGACAUCGAAAAAGAGCAUGUGCUAAGACUUACACACCCUGAGAGCUUGCUUUCACUUUGUUGCUUCUGAAUUUCAGCUUUAAAAAGAACUGUGACAUCAUUUUCAUUAUGGAAACAAACAAACAAACAAACAAACAAACAAAAAACAACAGGAGAAGAAAAAGAAGGAAAAAAAGAAGGAAGGACAGAAGGAGGGACAGGAAAAUGGCAGGUCUUGGUGUCUCUAUGGUAUGGUGGUAGCUCAGACACAGUCAUGGACUUCAGACAACAGAACACAGGCAAAGGAGUAUUUGAGUCAGUGGCUUAACGUAGGCAUAGUCAGCAUAGCUAUAGCUAUACUUGCAGUUGACAAUUUAAUAAAAA